rnacentral:rRNA from 1 species
UACGUAGGCAGCGAGCGUUGUUCGGAGUUACUGGGCGUAAAGGGCUCGUAGGUGGCCAACUAAGUCAGACGUGAAAUCCCUCGGCUUAACCGGGGAACUGCGUCCGAUACUGGAAGGCUUGAAUCCGGGAGAGGGAUGCGGAAUUCCAGGUGUAGCGGUGAAAUGCGUAGAUAUCUGGAGGAACAUCGGUGGCGAAGGCGGCAUCCUGGACCGGUAUUGACGCUGAGGCGCGAAAAGCCAGGGGAGCAAACGGG